rnacentral:rRNA from 1 species
AUUGAACGCUGGCGGCAGGCCUAACCCUUUCAAGUCGAACGAGUGGCGGACGGGUGAGUAAUGUCUGGUAAACUGCCUGAUGGAGGGGGAUAACUACUGGAAACGGUAGCUAAUACCGCAUACCAUCGGAUGUGCCCAGAGGGGAUUAGCUAGUAGGUGGGGUAUCGGCUCACCUAGGCGACGAUCCCUAGCUGGUCUGAGAGGAUGACCAGCCACACUGGAACUGAGACAAGGGCCAGACUCCGAAGGGAGGCAGCAGUGGGGAAGAUUGCACAAUGGGUGCAAGCCUGAUGCAGCCAUGCCGCGUGUAUGAAGAAGGCCUUCGGGUUGUAAAGUACUUUCAGCGGGGAGGCGUUACCCGCAGAAGAAGCAACGGCUAAAGCCGUGCCAGCCGCCGCGGUAAUUC